rnacentral:misc_RNA from 1 species
AUGUUUUUUUUUUUUUUUUUUCUAACAACAUAUUUCUGGGAAUUGAGUGUUAUGUCGAGAUGAAAUAAACUUAAAUUUAUUAAGAUUCGUUCGUCAGAUCAAAACAGGAGACGAACCCAAUCAGCAUAUUCUGUUUUCAGUAUAUUGAGAAUCUUGUCCCACAUUGAUCCUGACAUGAAUAUAUAAAGUGAUUCAUAUAUUGGAAUAUUAAUUUAUGACGUCACUGUCGCACUCCGAUUUCACUCUUAUUGGUUGGAAAGUAUCAACUCUAGUGCCAGAUUAACCUAACGUAGGGUUAAUGUCUCUUCUUAAUUAAAGUCUAAUUAAGCCUGAUUUACUUGUUAAAAACAGGAACAGUCUCUAGUUGUGUUAGAAGUUUCCAAGUUCAUUUUUACACUCACUAGCCAUCAACCAGUAGGGUUUGCUUCGCUCUAUCUCAAAUUAAUUGCACCUGCUUUUUCUUAGCUUUCCUGUUUCUACGAGUAAUCAUGUCGUUGAGACCCAGCACCAGAACCGAGGUUCGCCAGAACCGUUACAAGGUCGCUGUCGA